UGCCAAUAAUCAUCUGGGGAAAAAAAUCAUAAUUUUGAAACUUGCAGAUCAAUAGGAACAGGUGAAAUGGCUUUAAAUGCGCAUAUAGCCAUGUGGCAGGAACUCAAAUAUUGAACUAAAGAUUCCAAAGAGGAAGAACUUUAUUCAUUGAAAACUAGAAGAACAUUAAGCAAGAGCUCAAUACAACAAGAAGCAAACUUAAGCCUCUGCAAACAGAGGCGAGGUGAUGGUUAAAUAAAAAGAACCAG
rnacentral:misc_RNA from 1 species